rnacentral:rRNA from 1 species
AUCGAAAGCUUGCUUUUGAUUCGUUAGCGGCGGACGGGUGAGUAACACGUGGGCAACCUGCCCUGUAGACGGGGAUAACACCGAGAAAUCGGUGCUAAUACCGGAUAACACGAAAUGUCGCAUGACGUUUCGUUGAAAGACGGCGCAAGCUGUCGCUACAGGAUGGGCCCGCGGCGCAUUAGCUAGUUGGUGAGGUAACGGCUCACCAAGGCGACGAUGCGUAGCCGACCUGAGAGGGUGAUCGGCCACACUGGGACUGAGACACGGCCCAGACUCCUACGGGAGGCAGCAGUAGGGAAUCUUCCGCAAUGGACGAAAGUCUGACGGAGCAACGCCGCGUGAGCGAAGAAGGCCUUCGGGUCGUAAAGCUCUGUUGUUAGGGAAGAACAAGUAACGCAGUAACUGGCGUUACCGUGACGGUACCUAACGAGAAAGCCACGGCUAACUACGUGCCAGCAGCCGCGGUAAUACGUAGGUGGCAAGCGUUGUCCGGAAUUAUUGGGCGUAAAGCGCGCGCAGGCGGUUCCUUAAGUCUGAUGUGAAAGCCCACGGCUCAACCGUGGAGGGUCAUUGGAAACUGGGGGACUUGAGUGCAGAAGAGGAGAGCGGAAUUCCACGUGUAGCGGUGAAAUGCGUAGAGAUGUGGAGGAACACCAGUGGCGAAGGCGGCUCUCUGGUCUGUAACUGACGCUGAG